UACGAAGGGGGCUAGCGUUGCUCGGAAUUACUGGGCGUAAAGCGCACGUAGGCGGCUUUCUAAGUCGGGGGUGAAAUCCUGGAGCUCAACUCCAGAACUGCCUUCGAUACUGGAAAGCUCGAGUCCGGGAGAGGUGAGUGGAACUGCGAGUGUAGAGGUGAAAUUCGUAGAUAUUCGCAAGAACACCAGUGGCGAAGGCGGCUGGCUGGGCCAUUCCUGACGCUGAGGCGCGAAGGCUCGGGGAGCGGACGGG
rnacentral:rRNA from 1 species